UCUGAAUCUGCGAACGGCUCCGCAAACCAGUUGUAAACUAUAGCAAGCUCGCUCACGUUCCCCCUUCACGGGGGGAGUCUGGGUAAUAGGGAUAACCCUGGUAAUUCUGAGGCUAAUACCACCACGUAAAACCUGGCCGACCGGGCAACCGGAAAGCUGGGGGGCGUGCGAGUGUUUUCGCGAGGUUUACCGGGAAAGGACGCACGUCUCGACCGCGCAAAACGGAUGACCGGGCCCUCGGGCUCGGGCUUCUAGCGGCUCUUGCUGUGUGCUUCUGACCUAUCAACUAGAUGGCAGCGUAAGGGACAUGCUAUGGU
rnacentral:rRNA from 1 species